rnacentral:lncRNA from 1 species
UCCAAUUUACUUUUAAAAUAUUCAUACUUUACUUUAUAUAUUUAGAAGCUUAUUACCUAACUAAAUAUAAAAUACUUUAGAAAAAUCAACACCAUAACAAAAAAUUAUACUUCUAAUUGAUGUAUAGCCAUUUUAAAUAUUAUAAAAUAUAUCUGAUAGAGCAAUAACGUUUUAAUCUUUCAAAAGUUCAGAUUUAUUCGCUUGUCUUAUUAUUAUUUUGUUAAUAUUAAAAUUAUAAAAAAUAUUUUUAAACUCUUUAAAUGAUGAGGUAUAAAUUGUAUAU